CCCUGUCACAGGAUGAUCAGCAGGCAGCAAGAAAUGCAAGGCAGCACCUACGGCCACCUUAGCACAAGCCUGGCACUGUUAACGAUGGAAUCAGCUUCCCUGGAAACAACACUCAGCCAGGAGAUCAGCCCUCGAUUUAUUCGGAGUCCCAGAAAAACUCCAGUGGAGAAGCAAUGAGGCAAAGCUACAAAAUGUGUCCUGGCUUUUGGCACAACAUGAGUCUAUGGGGUACCUGCCUGGUGAUUAAACCUGCUAAACCUGAAGGAAAAGAGGGACAUGUCCCUGCACCACCACCUGCUACUGGGUAAUGAGUGGACGGUAUUGGCAAAACGUCUCUGGGGGUCUAACCCCAAACACAGCCUGUAGCCCAGCAGAUACCCCCUGUGUGCAUGUGUAUGGGCAUGUGUAUGAGGAUGCAUCUCACCCAGCAACACAUUGAAGACAAUUUUUCAUGAACAGAACAGCUCCUCCUUCUACCUCUUCCCAAUCCCCCUGAUCAGUCCUAUGAGCUUUAGGCUACCCAGACUCCCCCGUGGUACCUACCUCACAGUCCAUCAGCUCCUUGCAGAGCGCAGGGAGGGGGCUAUGGAUGCAGCUUUCUCAAUAGACCUUUUAUCCAUCUGUGCUGGGACUUGGGGGUGUCUCCAAAGGUUAAAAUAAAAAGCAGUAGCACAUCAAACAAGCAGGGAUGAAUGCAAAGCCUGGAGCAAGAAGGUCACAUGAAGCACCACAAACACUUUGGGCAUAAAGGGGCAUUGUCAGGCUUAAUGCCAGGAUGAAGGGAAAGAGCAAAUGUAAGGGGUUCUGAAUGGUUUGGAUGAAGUCAGCAUGUUAAGCAACAUGAGUCUUGGGGGUUGGAGAGGUGACAGGGGGACAAAAAUGUGCUUCACAUGAACACAAGGAGGGUUUGUGUUCCUCCUUUCUAUGUUUAUCCCCCUUCAGCUCCGGCCCCAAGCAGUCAGCUGUAAUAUUGAUUUAUACUUCUACCUCUCUGGGGCAGGGGAUGUGUCUUUGUUCUGUACAGCACCAAGCACCAUGAGUGUCCCAGCCCUGGCUAAUGUCCUCAAUCCUACAGCAAUACAACCCUAUCACAGCAAUACUGCUCGUUAGGGCUGGCCUUUUAUUCUAUUUCUAAGGUGCCCGGCACAACAAAGACUCCUUGAAGUGGGGUCCUUGGUGUUACGAACAGGCUACAAACAGAUGUUGCAUUUGUCCUGGGACAAGUUGUGCCUUUGGUUGUCCCAGAAAAGAAAAGUCACAGGACUGGCAUGUAUACACGUUGCCCCUCCAAUCAGGGUUUAGUGAGUGGGUGAAUGCACUGCUGCUUUUCUUUCAUUGGUCCAGUGAUGCAAUCCCGGGACAUCUGCCCUUAGGACAGAACAGUCCCAUGCACCGGUACAGGUUGGACCGACUGGCUAAGCAGCAGCUUUGCAGAAAAGGACCUGGGGGUUACAGUGGACAAGACGCUGAAUAGGAGCCAGCAGUGUGCCCUUGUUGUGAAGAAGGCUAACGGCAUCCUGGGCUGCAUUAGUCAGAGCACUGCCAACAGAUAGAGGGAAGUGACUAUUCCCUUCUAUUCAGCACUGGGGAGGCCACAUCUGGAGUACUGUGUCCAGUUUGCCCCCCCCGAAAGGAUGUGGACAAAUUGGAGAAAGUCCAGCAGAGGGCAACAAAAAUGGGUAGGGGGCUGGGGCACAUGACUCAUGAGAAGAGGCUGAAGGAACUGGGUUUAUUUCGUCAGGAAAAGAGAAAACGGAGAGGGGUUUAAAUAGCAGCCUUCAGCUACCUGAAGGUGGUUCCCAAGAGGAUGGAGCUGGGCUGCUCUCAGCGGUGGCAGAUGACAGAACAAGGAGCAAUGAUCUCAAGGUGCAGCAAGGGAGUUUUAGGUUGGAUAUUAGGAAAAACUUUCUAACUAGGAGGGUGGUGAAGCACUGGAAUAGGUUACCCAGAGAGGUGGUGGAGUCUCCAUCCUUGGAGGUUUUUAAGACCUGGCUCGACAAACCCCUGGCUGGGAUGAUCUAGUUGGGGCUGGUCCUGCUUGGAGCAGGGGGUUGGACUAGAUGCGACCUCCUGAGGUCCCAUCCAACCCUCAUUUUCUAUAUUUCUAUGAGUUUCACAGUCCAACCACAAGAACGGAGACCCAGAAGUAACAACAACUGUAAAUGAUAAAGGGACGGCUAUAGGGCUCAAAGAACUUAGCUGCACUGCAGCAUAGCCAGUUGCAGCAGCAGAUCUCUGCUCUAAUCAGCAUUCACACAGUGCUGUAUUUCUCUGCAAACAGUGGAAACUGGCAGCUUUCUACACCUGUAUGUCCCACCUGCAGCUGCUUCGCAUAGGGGACUUACCCUUCAGUUCUGAGGAGGCAGAAGGGCUCCUGCUGCACACUAAGCUAAGUGUGCCUGAAAUCAUGAUCAGAGCAUCAGUCCUGCUGCAAGAAAGAUGAGUGAGUCGGGAAACAGAGGGGCUCUGUCUGGAAGAUGGACCUCGGUCGUGAUGAGAGCAGACACGAGGGAGGAACCAUACAGGGACAUGCUGACCUCACAACCCUCACUACCCCAUGCCCGUGACCAUGCCAGGGAGCAGGAAGCCAAGAACAAUGCUGAGUCUUGGGGUGGACAUGGGAACCCUUUUCUUCUCUGCUCCUCAUAACUGGGGUGUCCUAGGGUCACUGCUGCCUCCAAAGUUUAUGAUUAUUCAGCAAUGCAGAAUUUCCACCUAAUGCAGAACCUGGCUCCCUUCUCCCAUGCCUCUCAGUCCCAGCCCUCGGCUUGGCUUAGCAUCGUGGUCCAUGGCUCUUCCAUUGCCUUUAACCCCAAGCCACUGCCCAAUGCACCCAGAAGACAAUACCAAAGACUUUCCCCUUUCAAGGACCCAAUGUGCCUGCCUUUCUCCUUUCAAGGAUCCUGCUUGCUUGAAUGUGCCUGCUCUGUCCAGAGGGUUGGUCCCAUCCUCAUUGCUCUCCAGUGGGAAAUGAUACCCUUGUUCCCGAGCUCUGAAGACCUUACCCAGCCUCAGUGGGGAGGAGUCAGGUCAAAGCGGCAGCACCUGGAGCCUAGUGGGGAGUACAUAGGCCAAGCUUCAUUGAUCAUGAUCCAACCACCUCGCACAUCAGGACCUAUGUUCUCCCUUUCUCCACGCAGCCCCACUGCCAGCCCCACCAGGAACAGCAACCUUCCCAAACUACACUUCCUCCCUGUGCCCUACGGGGAGAGAAGUUCUGGCCAGCCUGGAUGGGAAGGCUGCGACAAGCCACCCAUGAAGAAGAGAGGCCAGGGGAGGGAGACCCAGGAUGGACUUUAGCUCAGGAACGAAGAGAGCUCUUGCGUGGUGAGCCCCAGGUUGGAAUAACAAGGCGUUGUAUGGGGCAGGGUGGAGGUGCCCUGGCCGUGCAUGUCACCUGCCCAUCGUCUACCCAGCUCUAGACAACAGCAGCCACCUCCGUGCUUCAUCAGCACUGUCCUCUCUGAUGACUGGCCUAGUUAAGUGGGUUGUGCUGGGCAUUCGCAUCAACCCACUGGGCCAGAGUGGGCCCUUCCCUGGCCAGGCAACAGGCACUCGGGUCUUCAUGCUACCUCCGCCUUUGCCCCGCCAACGGGAGGCUGGCCACUGUCCUGGCAGAGGGCUCCAUCCAACCCUCCCCCAUGGCAAACGAACACCACGGGGAGCCAGCCUGGGAAGAGUUAAAAGCAAAAUGAUUAAAAAAAAAAAAAAACCCAAACCCUGAACCACAUGCGACCUAACCUCCCCGAACGGCUCAUCUGAAUUUAAUAAAGCGAGAGGGGAGUGGAAAAAAAAAUCUCCCAAAAAGCUCUCAAAGAAAUUAAAGUAAACAACAUUCUGACCUUCGACCCCUCGCUGCCCUGCGACUGACUCAAGUCUAUUCUUAUGGUCACAGACGCUUUGACAUUUUGUUUAAUUGUAAACACAUUCAGUAAAUACAAGGGUCUGGUGGCAGGCAGCUCCCUCUCAGAAAGGAUCCAGUAAUGCGCCCGGGAUAGGAACAUCUGUCCCAGAGCAAAAGAGAAAUCUCUUCUUGUGCUCUCAGAGAAAAAAGAUGCAAAGCUGAGAGCAGGGGGUUGGAAAGCUGUCAGCAGCCACAGUGUCUCUUCAUCCAGCAUGGGCCACCGUGCUGCCAUGCCAUGCUGGUCAACUCCUGAGACCUGAAAGCACGAGUCUCUGCAGCUUGGGUUGAAGAGGCACGGUCGAUAGGGGUUUUUUUGAUGAACCUUGAGAAAAUCUACCAUUUCAGAGGGAAAGUCCUGCUAGAACCUAUAAGGAACAUCACAUCUUAGCAUCGCUGAACAGGACAGGUGGAGGCCACCCUCUUGACAGACAUGUCGAGGGAGGAAUAGUGGCCUCCAGAGCUGUUCUGGUUUGAGCAGUGGGUGUUGCUCUGAGGCAGGGGCUAUCACAGCUCACAACUUCUCUGGAUCAGGCACACAGCGAGGACAGACACAUGUCUUCUCUGGAUCAAAUGCUCCCUCACCCAUGGCUUACAGAGACCUCUUCUGAGCCAAGUUCAAACAAGCCUAAGGACUUUGUAGCCUAAGUCCUGCUUUCCAAAGAGACUCGAGAGACAGCAUCGCACUGGCUCUAAAUGAGUCAUUGUUUCCUCCAUGCCUAAGUCACUUUGGACUGGCACUGAAGUCAUGUAGGCACCUCUGAACAUUUUAUACUUGGGGACUACAAAUUGCAACCCAGCCCAUAACUUCCUAUAAUUGUCUUCUUCCCAGAAGGGAAGCAUUACACAGUGCUCGGUGCUAACAACUCCAAGCAUUCAAUAGCCAACGAGCCAGGCCAAACAUUUCUGAGAUUAGCUUAAAAGGUAUCAUAAAAUAAUUGGCUUCUUUUCAUUUACUUUCUUGUUUCUGAGCCUUUUGGGGCUGCCCGUCACUUGUCUCUGUGAGCUGGGAACUCACUUUCUUUUCAAUAAAAGCCUUGAUGUCCA